GUCCCCGUAGCUCAGCAGGAUAGAGCAACAGAUUCCUAAUCUGUAGGUCGCACGUUCGAAUCGUGUCGGGGACG
rnacentral:tRNA from 2 species